rnacentral:rRNA from 1 species
GACGAACGCUGGCGGCGUGCUUAACACAUGCAAGUCGAACGAUGAACCGGGGCUUGCCCUGGGGAUUAGUGGCGAACGGGUGAGUAACACGUGGGCAACCUGCCCCAGACACCGGGAUAACCUCUCGAAAGAGUGGCUAAUACCGGAUACGACCUCCUUGGGCAUCUGAGGAGGUGGAAAGGAUUCUGGUCUGGGAUGGGCCCGCGGCCUAUCAGCUUGUUGGUGGGGUAAUGGCCUACCAAGGCGACGACGGGUAGCCGGCCUGAGAGGGCGACCGGCCACACUGGGACUGAGACACGGCCCAGACUCCUACGGGAGGCAGCAGUGGGGAAUAUUGCGCAAUGGGCGAAAGCCUGACGCAGCGACGCCGCGUGAGGGACGAAGGUCUUCGGAUUGUAAACCUCUUUCAGCAGGGACGAAGCGAAAGUGACUGUACCUGCAAAAGAAGCACCGGCUAACUACGUG